GCUAGGGAAGUUUCUUAUUUCUCCUGCUCUGACUUCCCCCUUUGAUUUAUUAUAGCCAUGAAAUGCUCUACUCUCUUCUCUUUUCCUUGCUGUCUCUUGGGGCUGGAGGAACACAGGCAUCCCUGGGCGUCCGGCCUUGGCCCGCUGCCCCCGUCUCCUCCCGAGGCCAGGGCUCCAGGGCCAGCACAGAGAGACUUGUUUGUAUAUGGAAGACUGGAAGCGCCCAAAGCCCCUCACCUGGGGACAGCUUGUGUCAAUCACGACAGUUCUGCACAGGGAGGAAGAGACGCCGGUGCAGCACCGGCCUCCUCCGUAAAUAGGAAAAUCUGCUCAGAGGAGAGGGCUGGACCCAGCUCAGGGCCCAGGAGUCACCCUGCGUGUGACCCCCGGCACAACGAAGAAAGAAGAAAAGGCUGAACUGCACUGUUGGAAAUGCUUAUAAAGAAAAGCAGGGGAAAACAACCAAAAUGCCCAUCAAUUGCAGAGUGGAUGAAAAAGGUGUGGUAUUUUUAUACAGUGGAAUAUUACUCAGCUAUAAAAAGGAUGCUCUUGAGGCCUUCAUGGGUAAAUGGAGACAACUCUUUCCUCAUAUGAGAAAUAAAUAAGAAUCAUAUUUACAAAUAUCACAUUAUGUCUCUAGUGUAAAAAAUAGUAAGAACUGUAGGAGUAAUAAAACCCAAAAUGUGUAAUUGCUAUUGUAAAAAAGAGAGGAAAAGGAAGUGCUCUAAAGGAUAUAACUGCACGUAUGUUAGUGUGUAGAAUUGACAAUCACAUUACUAAGUAUUACUAAGUUUUUGUUGGAUCGUUGAGCAGAACUGUUUGUAGUCUCACUGUUUGCAUGUACACUUUGUAUGCUUUACUUUUGUAACUUGAAUAACUAUUUCUUUUUUUUUUUUUUUAUCAGUACUGGGGAUCGAACUCACGACCAUGUGCUUGCAUGGCAGGCGCUUAUGCUACUGAGCUAAAUCCCCAGCCCCUCUAUUUCUAAGAUGACAGUAUAUAAUUUAUCAACUAGUGAUUUCUCACUCUUUAUCUUUUUUGAAAUUCUGUAUUAUUAGUACCUUUUUUUUCUGUUUUGCUUUUUUUUUUCCUCUUUAAAAAAAAAAAAAAAAGCAAGGGGGCUGGGGAUUUAGUUCAGCAGUGCAGCACCUGCCUGGCAAGCGUGAGGUCCUGAGUUUGAUUCCAGGUUACCCCUGCCUGCCAAAGAAGCAAGGAGCCAGGUGUGGUGGUACAGUACACAUUCAUUAUCCUAGCUCUUGGGAGGCUGAGACAGGAGGAUUUCCAUGAGUUUAAGUCUAACAUAGAGAGAUUUUGUUUCAAAAAGGAGGAGAGGGGCUGGGGAUGUAGCUCAGUGGGAACACCUGCCCAGCAUUCAUAGGACCCUGGGGUCCAUCCCUAGCACUGCCCCUUCCCUCCCUCCUUUCUUCCUUCUUUCUUUCCUUCCUUCCUUCAUUUUUCAUGCUGGGGAUCCAAUCCAAGGUCUCCCACACAUUAGGCAAGCGUCUUACCACUAAGCUACCUCCCAAGUCCUGAUGCUUAAUUUUUUGACCUGAAGCACCGUUGCAUAGGUGUUCACUUUAUUCUUCAAACUAUGCAUCAUUUGAAAAGUCUCACAAUUAGGCAUGGUGGUACCCACCUGUAGAGCCAGCUACUUAGGAGGCUGAGGCAGGAGGAUUUCUUGAGCCUGGGAGCUUGGGACAGCCUGGGAAACAUCAUGAGAUCCUAGUACAGAGGAUCCUCACCUUGUGAGGGACUUUACACCCUGGCAAGCCCAUCAUAAGUUGGAGAUACUUUUAAUGCAUGUAACUGGUAACACCUCCUCGCUUAGCAAUGCUGAACACUGUAGAAAAUCAAUGGUGACCAGCAACUGUGGCGACUGCCACUGCCUAGUGUCACAGAGGAAUCUCAGACCACCUAUUGCCAGCCAGGGAAGAGAUCAAGAUUGGAAAUGCGAAGUAUUUUGGUAGAAGUUUCUAUGGAUCCUUUUCACAUGAUCAUAAAGUAAAACAGAAAACCCUAGGUGGGGUCAUCACAGAUCGGGGAGCGUCUGCACAUCCGAGUGGUGGAUACUCCACCGUCAUUACAGUGAACAGCACUAGCCAGGCACAGUGAUGCACGUGCUCGUCAUCUCAGCACUCAGGAGGCUGAGGCCGGAGGGUCGUCAUGAGUUCAAGGACAGCCUGGACUACCCGGUGAGACCCUCUCUCAACAACUUAAAGUGAAACAGAUUUUAAACGACUGUCUCUGUGUCUGCAGGCUCCUGUCUGCCCCGAUCGUGCCCCAGCGGACACGCAGGAUCAGGUAGCAGGGGUGGCCGCCGUGGAAGAGGAAGUGGGGAGUUGUGGAUCUUUUCUGUUUUGGAUUUCGAACCAUACACCUGUGUUAUCUAUUCAAACAAUAAAACAAUGAAAAACUUCUCAUUAAUU
rnacentral:lncRNA from 1 species